GUAACAGAACUAGCUUGCUAGUUGCUGACGAGUGGCGGACGGGUGAGUAAUACUUAGGGAUCUGCCUCUGUGUGGGGGAUAACUAUUGGAAACGAUAGCUAAUACCGCAUAACGUCUACGGACCAAAGAGGGCUUCGGCUCUCGCGCAGAGAGGAACCUAAGCGAGAUUAGCUUGUUGGUGGGGUAAAGGCUCACCAAGGCGACGAUCUCUAGCUGUUCUGAGAGGAAGAUCAGCCACACUGGAACUGAGACACGGUCCAGACUCCUACGGGAGGCAGCAGUGGGGAAUAUUGCACAAUGGGGGCAACCCUGAUGCAGCCAUGCCGCGUGUGUGAAGAAGGCCUUCGGGUUGUAAAGCACUUUCAGUUGUGAGGAAAGGUUAGUAGUUAAUACCUGCUAGCUGUGACGUUAACAACAGAAGAAGCACCGGCUAACUCCGUGCCAGCAGCCGCGGUAAUACGGAGGGUGCAAGCGUUAAUCGGAAUUACUGGGCGUAAAGCGCACGCAGGCGGUCUGUUAAGCUAGAUGUGAAAGCCCCGCGCUCAACGUGGGAGGGUCAUUUAGAACUG
rnacentral:rRNA from 1 species